rnacentral:rRNA from 1 species
UACAGAGGGUGCAAGCGUUAAUCGGAAUUACUGGGCGUAAAGCGCACGUAGGCGGUUUUUUAAGUCAGAUGUGAAAGCCCCGGGCUCAACCUGGGAAUUGCAUUCGAAACUGGGGAACUAGAGUGUGUGAGAGGGGGGUAGAAUUCCAAGUGUAGCGGUGAAAUGCGUAGAGAUUUGGAGGAAUACCAGUGGCGAAGGCGGCCCCCUGGCACAACACUGACGCUCAGGUGCGAAAGCGUGGGGAGCAAACAGG